rnacentral:rRNA from 1 species
CGAGCGAGCUUGCCUAGAUGAUUUUAGUGCUUGCACUAAAUGAAACUAGAUACAAGCGAGCGGCGGACGGGUGAGUAACACGUGGGUAACCUGCCCAAGAGACUGGGAUAACACCUGGAAACAGAUGCUAAUACCGGAUAACAACACUAGACGCAUGUCUAGAGUUUGAAAGAUGGUUCUGCUAUCACUCUUGGAUGGACCUGCGGUGCAUUAGCUAGUUGGUAAGGUAACGGCUUACCAAGGCAAUGAUGCAUAGCCGAGUUGAGAGACUGAUCGGCCACAUUGGGACUGAGACACGGCCCAAACUCCUACGGGAGGCAGCAGUAGGGAAUCUUCCACAAUGGACGAAAGUCUGAUGGAGCAACGCCGCGUGAGUGAAGAAGGGUUUCGGCUCGUAAAGCUCUGUUGGUAGUGAAGAAAGAUAGAGGUAGUAACUGGCCUUUAUUUGACGGUAAUUACUUAGAAAGUCACGGCUAACUACGUGCCAGCAGCCGCGGUAAUACGUAGGUGGCAAGCGUUGUCCGGAUUUAUUGGGCGCAAAGCGAGUGCAGGCGGUUCAAUAAGUCUGAUGUGAAAGCCUUCGGCUCAACCGGAGAAUUGCAUCAGAAACUGUUGAACUUGAGUGCAGAAGAGGAGAGUGGAACUCCAUGUGUAGCGGUGGAAUGCGUAGAUAUAUGGAAGAACACCAGUGGCGAAGGCGGCUCUCUGGUCUGCAACUGACGCUGAGGCUCGAAAGCAUGGGUAGCGAACAGGAUUAGAUACCCUGGUAGUCCAUGCCGUAAACGAUAAGUGCUAAGUGUUGGGAGGUUU